AUUGAACGCUAGCGGCAUGCCUUACACAUGCAAGUCGAACGAGUGGCGGACGGGUGAGUAAUGUCUGGGAAACUGCCCGAUGGAGGGGGAUAACUACUGGAAACGGUAGCUAAUACCGCAUACCAUCGGAUGUGCCCAGAUGGGAUUAGCUUGUUGGUGGGGUAACGGCUCACCUAGGCGACGAUCCCUAGCUGGUUUGAGAGGAUGACCAGCCACACUGGGACUGAGACACGGCCCAGACUCCUACGGGAGGCAGCAGUGGGGAAUUUUGGACAAUGGGGGAAAGCCUGAUGCAGCCAUGCCGCGUGUAUGAUGAAGGCCUUCGGGUUGUAAAGUACUUUUGGCAGGAAAGCGGUACCUGCAGAAUAAGCACCGGCUAACUACGUGCCAGCAGCCGCGGUAAUAC
rnacentral:rRNA from 1 species